rnacentral:ncRNA from 1 species
GGGGCUGGUCGAAAGAUCUGGGUCCACCGUGGAGCGGGGAAUUUCCCC